rnacentral:misc_RNA from 1 species
GACUAAAGAAAUCUUCAUAUUGUGGGGAUAUUAUUAGUGCAAGGGAACCGCAAGAUAUAAUAUAUUUCAAGCUCACAGACCAUGCAAAGCCUUCAGCAUAGAUUUUGUACCUGUACUGAUCUGAUAGUUUGGAGCCCUCAAAACCAGCUUUUGCUUCUUCUCCCCAAUCCUGUCGCAAAAUGUGUGCCCCCCACUUCCUAGAGUGGUUGCAUUGCAAUAAC